rnacentral:rRNA from 1 species
GUGCCAGCCGCCGCGGUAAUACGUAGGGUGCAAGCGUUAAUCGGAAUUACUGGGCGUAAAGCGUGCGCAGGCGGUCCGCUAAGACAGAUGUGAAAUCCCCGGGCUUAACCUGGGAACUGCAUUUGUGACUGGCGGGCUAGAGUAUGGCAGAGGGGGGUAGAAUUCCACGUGUAGCAGUGAAAUGCGUAGAGAUGUGGAGGAAUACCGAUGGCGAAGGCAGCCCCCUGGGCCAAUACUGACGCUCAUGCACGAAAGCGUGGGGAGCAAACAGGAUUAGAUACCCCAGUAGUCCA